rnacentral:misc_RNA from 1 species
UUCAAAACUUCAGUGUACCAUCAUCUGGGUCAUUGCAUAUACCUCCAGCACCAGUUUAUUAUCCUAGUGAAGAGGAAUUUAAGGACCCUUUAGGGUAUAUAUACAAGAUCAGAGCAGAGGCUGAGAAAUAUGGGAUAUGUAAGAUUGUCCCACCAAAGAGCUGGACACCACCAUUUGCAUUGAAUUUGGAUAAUUUUAGCUUUCCCACGAAAACACAGGC